GCGCCCGUAGCUCAAUGGAUAGAGUACAUGUCUUCGGAACAUGGGGUUGCAGGUUCGAAUCCUGCCGGGCGCG
rnacentral:tRNA from 1 species